GGGCUCAUGGCCUAAUGGUAAGGCGUCAGAUUUCGGCUAUCCUUCAGUUCUCCAAACAUGGAGUGCAGCGUUUCUCUGAAGAUUGCAGGUUCGAUCCCUGCUGAGCUCG